AACGAGUACCGUGGGAAAACAUAGGAUGCCAUCCAGAGAAGCUUUUAUUUAUUUGUUGGAAUUUAUAAAUUUUAAAGUUUAUUAGUUAUAAAAGGUAAAGAGAGCAAGUAGCAUCCAUGGAACUAGUUCUAGUAUUUUAACUGUGAAAGAUCAUCACAUUAAAAUUAAAGUGUUUCCCCAGUGAAGAAUACUUACACUUCAAUUCCCGUUCUAGCCCCAGAACUUUGUGAAGACAAACCUAUUUGGAGCUGGCGGAAGAGAAGAAUAUUUGUUCCAGAAGGAAUUUCCUGAGGAAUUACCCCAGUUUCUGAAGAAACCGUCCAGACUUUUCUCAUGAGGCUCCUCUGCUCGUCCACUGACGCUGCCACAUCUUCACAGUUGCUGGGAUUCCAGCUUGGAUCUCUACAACCAUCGCCUGUCAUUUUGAGAGACUCCUUCAAUUGUCUUCGCUCGCGGUGGGGAGGAGGAAAGGAACACGAACCCGGUCCCUCUUUCAUUCCCUCACUCAGACCUUUACCCUCCCUGGUGAGAAGAUUGCACAUCUUAGGUGUGCACAGAAUGGUCAGAGGUGGGCGUAGUGUGUUGGGGACACACUGUGCAAACGGAUCUGAACUGCUGGCUUUAUCUGGGAAAUGGUACCUGACGUUUUGCUUUUGGGUAUGCUUGGCAUGGCCUCAUAAAAUUCUUUUUUUUUUUUUCUUUUGUAAAGACUGAUAAUGUCGAAUAUGGAAUUCUAUCUACACUUCCAGUGGCGUCUAAAGAGAAGAGUCAGUAGGUGGGACGGGUCAUAUCAUCCUAGGUUUUGUCUGAAAGAGCCUUAUAUGUAUAUUCCCAUCAAAACACUUAUCCUUCGAGCCGGAUUCGAACCAGCGACCUAAGGAUAUCUCAAAGAUGAGAAACUCCACUACAGUCCUCCGCUCUACCAACUGAGCUAUCGAAGGAGUCGCUAAAGAGCCUACUUAGUAAUUUUAUAUGAUCUCUGUUGUGUUAUGUUGACGGUAUAAAUAACUUUUUAAAGCAAUCUCUUUAGACAUCAGACAUACUAGCCUGCCUGUCCUGUCUGAUCUGUCCUGUCCUUUUUCUCUGAUGUUUGUCGAGGUUUGCUAAAUAUAUGAUACGGUUGCAUUAAGUUUGAAACUGAGGAAAAUAGUUGUGGGUUGUGGACAGCAUGACUUUUGGUCAUCUUGGUAGGUUGGCAUUUCUUCCUGAAAGUCAGGAAGUGGCACCAUUUAACAACUGUCAAAACUUCAGUGUGAAUUGUAAAAUAUUUCUCAUUUUCGAGUACCCUUGGAACCUGAGAGUUUGGAAAGUAUUACAACACCCAAUCUAGUAUUACAGGCAGCCCAAACUUUGUUCGUGCUAAAGACCUCAUACCAUGAGUGUAGUCAUGCCAGCAGGUGGAUCUGUGCCUUUGGAAUGGUCUAACCUUCUGAUCCUGUUCCAUGCCUGACUUAUCAUCAUUUAAAGGAUAAAUAUUGGCCAGACUGGGCAGACUCUGUCCAGUAAGGAGAAAGAAUUCUCGACAGUGGUGAGCACCAGGUCAAGUCUAUGAGAGGAAUAAUAAUUCAGCAAGAUAGGAAUACAAUUUUAGCAUCUGAGAUUUAAAAUCUCUUAUGUGGUGGGAGCUUCUUCCCACAGAAAGUCAUUCUUUUUUGUCAACCCUGACUGUAAUGAAUAAGCAAAAGUUAAGGUAGGUGUAAAGAGCUUGGAAAGGCCGGGGGGGGGGGGGGGCCGGGGUCUAAGAGGCUGGAAAGGCCUGUGUGGGGGUCUAAGAGCCUGGAAAAGCCUGCGUGUGGGUCUAAGAGCCUGGAAAGCCCUGUGUGAGGGUGUAAGAGCUUGGAAAGGCUUGUGCGUGGAUCUAAGAGCCUGGAAAGGCCUGGGGUGGGAGGGGGCUAAGAGCCUGGAAAGGCCUGUGUGGGGGUGUAAGAGCUUGGAAAAGCCUGUGUGUGUGCCUUGAACAGCUUAGCGACAUAGGGUCAGGUUUUAGGAUGUGUGUUUCUUUUUUUCUUUCCUUUUCCUAUUUGUUUAUUCAUUUAUUUAUUCAUGUAUAAAAGAUCUUGAUUUCAAACUCUGACUGGCUUGGUAUUCAUGAAGUAGCCCAGGCAGGCCUCCAACUCAGCCACAACUGGCUCUAGAAUACUGACUUAAGUAUGUUUUGCCUUCUCCCUUUAAAUUUUUAAUAUCUUACUCCGAUUUUAUUGAAUUUUUAAAAAUAAGCAUUAAGCUCACAAGAGGAAGUCUCUUUUGAUGAACCUUCAGAAGAAGAGGAAGUUGCUCUUAUGCUUAUUGCGUGGGGCCUCAUCUGCUAUUCUCCUGGGUGACAGGCCUCUGGCGGUGUCUAGCCCACCCUCUGCUCACCACCACAGCCCUACUUAGGACCUGGAACAACACCUGAUACUCGGCACUCCAGAACGAAAACGCAGUUACUUCUUUUCUCUUUUUGCAAAGACUUCUCUAGUCUGAACUCGUAUAUGUAUCCACUUUUAGCCGAAGGUGGUGGAAUAUUCUUGAAAGAAGGCAGGAAGAUCAUGAUUUAAGGAUCGUCUUCGACAACCCAGUGAAUUUAAGGUCAUUGAGGGUUACCUCACGUUACCAGCGUCUCAACAUUUCCUUUGAAAACUAAUUUUGAAUCUCCUCGAAAUCGUGCCUAAAGAAAUCAAAGGGAAGAGAAAUUGACUAACACAGACCCACUCUUGGCCAUGUGACCUCCGGCAGUGGUUUUAAAAAAAAAGCAAACAAACAAAAAACCCAGAAAACAAAAGGCUCGCUCCUUAAGCUUUUCUUUUCUUUCUCUCUCUUAGAGGUGUGAGGAUUGAUAAGGACCGAGGAGUGAGCCAAAGCCCAGCCUCGACGCCUGGGGAACUAGAAUGUUUUUCUCUGCUGAAGUUCCCACCUGGCAUCUGGUUUCUGUACUCAGGGUUCCGGCAUUAACUUCUUACCAAUCCCAGAACUGUUGUUUCAGUGAUCUACGAGCCCUGGCCCCCUGUACUGUACAGGGCGGAAGUCGCCCCAAGGCUGUUCCGCGACUAUCAAACCACAAUUCUACACUUUUAGCUUCGUUUUGCUAUAUAACCCAAUCUGGCCUCAAAGAGGAGGCAAUUGUCUUGCCUCACAAGAAACAAAAACAAACAAACAAACAAACAAACAAACAAACAAACCCUCUCUAUUUGGUGGGCUGAGAAUGCUAGCUAGUGUCGAAUUAAAUCCAGAUAUCAAAAGGGAGCAAGGCAGCAAGGGUACAUCACCAGGUGGGGAAUUAGCUCAAAUGGUAGAGCGCUCGCUUAGCAUGCGAGAGGUAGCGGGAUCGAUGCCCGCAUUCUCCAGUUUUUCAUCUUUUCCCACCAUACCUUGCUAGAGCAAGAGCAGCCUCCUGGAAGCACCAACCCCAUCGCUCAAAAGACCCUCUUUAACUUAGCAGGUUCCCUCAGCAACCCAGAAGGGUCUAAUUGUUGUCACAUACUUUUCUAUAGGAAAUGGCCGAGUUGCUUGUGAUUUCCCUCACGACUUGGAGAGCUGGAGUUUUGUUACAUUCAAGGGAAUUAAUAGUUAUGUUAAAACAUGAUCCUUUUAUUCACCUAUUUCCUGUUUUCCUAUCAAGUUCUUUAGUUGGGGGGGUGGUUUCAUUUUUGCUUUUACAUUUCUAGGUUUUCUUUUUUCUUUUUAAUUUAUUUUUACGUUAUGUGCAUUGGUGUUUUCCCAAGGGUGUUAGGUCCCCUGGAACAAGAGUUGCAGACAGUUGUGAGCUGCCAUGUUGGUGCCUCCUAUCAAGUUCUUACAGCUGCAAGUAAACGCGCUCCCCUUUGUUAAUAAGAUGAGGACGUGUAGAUCGAGCAUAGGUGGGUUUGAAUCUAGGUUGUUAGUUUAUUUGCUUCCUUCCGUUCACCCUGGGCCUAUUACCCGUUUUAGAAUAUCCCAGAAUACCCUCCAAGAUAUGGAAAGAAAUGUAGAACUCUGUCAGAGAAGUCUAGUCCAGGGCUAAUACAGCUUUGAAAAGAAAAUUAGACUAUUUUUCUUUUGCCCCAACAAACUUUCAAAACACAAGAGAUUACGGAGCUGCCAGUUCGGGCGGGUCUGCAACUAGCGCGGCCUCGAGGUUUUUUCUUGCUGUUAAUUUAAGAUCGUUAUGAUUUACAACAACAAUUGAAAAUAAUUUGAUAAGAGAAUAAAAGUUCUGACACAUGGGAUGGAAGGUAUAAG
rnacentral:lncRNA from 1 species